AUUGAACGCUGGCGGCAUGCCUUACACAUGCAAGUCGAACGGCAGCACGGGUGCUUGCACCUGGUGGCGAGUGGCGAACGGGUGAGUAAUACAUCGGAACGUACCUUAUCGUGGGGGAUAACGCAGCGAAAGCUGUGCUAAUACCGCAUGCGCCCUGAGGGGGAAAGCGGGGGAUCGAAAGACCUCGCGCGAUUAGAGCGGCCGAUGCCUGAUUAGCUUGUUGGUGGGGUAAAAGCCCGCCAAGGCGACGAUCAGUAGCUGGUCUGAGAGGACGAUCAGCCACACUGGGACUGAGACACGGCCCAGACUCCUACGGGAGGCAGCAGUGGGGAAUUUUGGACAAUGGGGGCAACCCUGAUCCAGCAAUGCCGCGUGAGUGAAGAAGGCCUUCGGGUUGUAAAGCUCUUUUGUCAGGGAAGAAACACCGGCUCUAACACAGUCCGGGAAUGACGGUACCUGAAGAAUAAGCACCGGCUAACUACGUGCCAGCAGCCGCAGUAA
rnacentral:rRNA from 1 species